UGCAGAUACAUGUAAUGUAAAACAUGUAGGCAGGCCUGAGUAACAAACAGUUUCUUAACGUAGAACUUUUUCGUUUUGAAAUAUCACAACACAUCCCUGUAUGGAAAAAAGCUUUAUGGGCUUGUUUGAAAGCUAUACUGCCCUCACAUCACAAGUUGUUCCUUAAUGAGCAAUGCCUCAUAACACCUUUUCAUAAUUUAUUGUCCACGUUCAGUGGCUUACAGCAACUUUGUUUAAUUAAUGCACUAUUACUGUAUUAUAGGAUCCAAAAUAGUUGGGGAAAUUUUUGUUUUUCAAAAUCAGGGAAAGUUCAGGGAAUAAAUGGAGAAAAUGGGAAGGUUCCCUUUUGUACCGUACCUUUGAAAAAAAAAACUAGACCAAACUACUGAACUAACUCCAUGCAAAUUAAAAGGUACAGUACAACACACUUUCAAUAAGUGACCACCAAACUAACUAAGAACAGGCAUUGCUCUUAUACGAAAAACUACACACCCCUACAGUAGUCGCUACGGUAUUUCUUGACCUCAACAGAACUCACAUGACGUUCUUUAACCAGCCUCAACACAAACUUCACCUGAAGUAAACCAGUUGAAUCAGACCAUAACUGAUCAGUCACUGAUUACUACCUAUUCAUAAUGGCUUGACAGGUUCUCAAAGCAUCAUUGCUUUUACAUGUACACUAGACAAACUACUUAAUGAUACUUGUCCACUUUUUUUCUUUGUGGUUGGCAACUUGACAGUUCUUCCUUUGGGUACCUCAGAAUGGGACAUACUGUAAUGACUUCCUCAAUGCCCACCAUCCCUCCUCCCCCCUUAUUCUCCAACCAUGAUUCACUAUUUCCCAGGGUUCCCCAGGUUAAGGAUUAGUUUUGAGUUGAUCAUUGCAUUCCUUGAUGUAAACCAAGUUCUGCUUUUAAUUUUGAAAUACCACAGACAUGUAAA